CCGCGUAGCGCGCCGGCCUGUCCUUUCAUUCACAGUUCGGUGCAUGCCUGUCAGGUCUUCAUCGCUCGCCGUGCAUGCUGUUCUUGGAUAGCGGCCAUAUACUUCGUAUUCUGCCGCUCCGCGUUUCUUUCUAUUUCUUUAUUGAAGCCAAGCUAUAAGCGUAUCGGUGAUUCAUUUGCUGUUCGACCGCGGCCAUUAUGUGGUUUUUUUUUAAUCACUUAUGCCACCCUUUUUCUCGGUCGCACCGAGUAUCAGUAUAGGGCACAUGAACCAUUUUGCGAGAAGCUCGUAGGCAUUGUUGCAUCUUAAGAGCCACCCAGUAGUAACAGCGAUCGACACGAUGCAAAUGAGGGGGGGGGCUCUGAAACUAUCUGAAACUGAAAUCUGGAACUGAAAUAUGAAAUGAAACUCUGAAACUGAAACUAUCGGCCCAUAUGUCUCGGGCUGCUGCGUUGUCGUGGUCUUGAUUUCCAUCUUUCCUUUUUCUUUCCGUUCUUAAAUAGUGUUUGCAACCCUUUUCAUUAUGGCCCGAUCGCACACAGCUGUUUGACUUUGUCAAUUGCCGCCUCUGACUCAAGCGAGCGCGCGAAAUUUCCUGACGCGACAGCCGUUCCCCCAAAAGAAGUUGUCACCAAGACAACUAUCUCCGAGAGCGCUCGUCGCUCGCCAAUCCAAACGUGAAGUAAGAGCUUCGCUUCGCUUAUAAUUUCGGCGGAUUAAUGCGUGCUCUGCCAAAAGUCAACCGGCCGCAUCAUGUCCUUGGCAAUGUUUGAAGGUCCCUCGAAUGCUUACGUCGUUCCUUACGUCAUGAUGAAUCUAUGAGGGAAGACCAAUGCCUACGUCGACGUGACCUGGAUUUAACUGAGGAGCGAUGCAACGACAGUGGCUUACGUCAUUACCCGGAUGAUAAGUUGACCUUGCCUUCGCGACGCUGCUGCAAUGGUCUCAUUCCUUCCUACUGCGACAGUGGAGGGCACCUUGUGCCGGAAUUCAUGGAAACUUGGUCUACCUCCCUCACAUGGCGUACCAAUCCCAGUCACACAACCAAACGAAUGUUUACAUGAUCACUUGAAUGCCUCUCCGUACGCGGAACAAGGGUUGAAGCCAAGCAUAAUUGCAGUUUUUGUACCGUAGCCUAAACCAAGCCCAAGGGUCCUCCUAUUCAACACACUUCGUCGGACCCCCCGACGACUAUAAUAUU